rnacentral:rRNA from 1 species
AUUGAACGCUGGCGGCACGCCUAACACAUGCAAGUCGAACGAGUGGCGGACGGGUGAGUAGUGUAUGGGAAACUGCCCGAUGGCGGGGGAUAACUACUGGAAACGGUAGCUAAUACCGCAUACCAACGGAUGUGCCCAGAUGGGAUUAGCUAGUAGGUGGGGUAACGGCUAACCUAGGCGACGAUCCCUAGCUGUUCUGAUGGGAUGACCAGCCACACGUGAACUGAGACACGGUCCAAACUCCUACGGGAGGCAGCAGGGGGGAAUAUUGGACAAUGGGGGCAAGCCUGAGGCAGCUAUGCCGCGUGUAUGAAGAAGGCCUUCGGGUUGUAAAGUACUUGCAGCGAGGAGGCGUUACUCGCAGAAGAAGCACAGGCUAACUCCGUGCCAGCAGCCGCGGUAAUAC